UGCUGCUUGUUGAUCUCUUCAGCCAUACUUGUCAAUUAUCACUCACAAACAACAAUUUUUAACAACAGAUCAACGGACAAGAACACAGAGAUAUGUGGUAUGUGCAAUAAAGUAAGUUUUCGAGCUUCUUUAAGGAAUUUUUGCUUACUUAAGACACAGAGUACCUGUGGUUUUAUAGUGUCACACCACGCGGAUCUGACGCGAUUAAGAGAAUAUGAAAGCCCAUUGGAUUAGCCAAUCACAACUAGCUCCUGUGACCGACGUGUACCUUAAGACAAAGCAGAAAACAACCAAUCCACUCUCUCGAAUAACUUAAAAACCAUUACUCGCUUCGUUUUAUUGACAGCUGUCUCUCGCUGAACGUGUCGAAUCCUUAAGGCGAGUGGAGCGGCUUGAAAAGAGGAGAACGGCGAUUUAACGGACAAAAGAAGAAAGUAAAAUGGAGAGGGAGACACGCUGUACCUUAC
rnacentral:lncRNA from 1 species